CUUGUGAUGAUCACCGCUGUUGUUUAUCACCUGAGAUUUACCUGCUUGCUGAAUACAACUGUCACCUGCUCUACCUGCUGGUUCAGAGUGUUACAACGGUCUAUUCCAACAACCACGAAUGAGCCCAAAGGUGUCGCCCACACAGUGGUCAUAACUCACUACUUCCUCCUCCUUGGCAACCAACUGCCAAUGUCUGAUGUUCUCUACCGCCACCU